UUUUGCCUUUUACAUACUGUGACAAAGGAAUAUGCUGGUCAAGGCAAGGCUGUUUCAGUGUUUCAGUUUCAACAAGAAUGUUGGAUUACAGGUCCUCACUUUCUACCAAGCCGGGAUUCAGUGUCAGGACCACACAGUCCACUGGGCAUCUGCCCCACAGAAUGACUGACAGGCUGCAGGAGACGACGGCUUCACUACUGAUUGUUACAGUGCAGUCACAGCCGUGACCAACCACUGCCCCCUAGUGACGCUGAGGACAAGUGUUGCUAAGAAUCGGAUCCACUUCGAGUCCCUCCCUGCUACCAGAAAGCUUCAGGUGUACAGCACAGUGAUCAAGCAUCUACACUGUCCAUGAAGUCAUCCCCUGAAGGCCGCUACUCUAUUUCUUGAACGAGCUCAGUGGCUCGCAGUGCGUGGAAGAGGACCAGCAGUCAACAGACUGAAUCUCUCCCUCAGCUGACUGUGCGCGACUCACCUAAGUCUAAUUUCCACAUCUGUCAAAUGAGGAAGAAAAUUUGCUCUGAUUCCCUCUUAGGGCUGUUAUGAAGACCAACUGAGAUAAUGUAUAUGAGGCGCUUUAUACACAGAGGUAUGACAAAUAA